AUUGAACGCUGGCGGCAGGCCUAACACAUGCAAGUCGAGCGGAUGAAGGGAGCUUGCUCCUGGAUUCAGCGGCGGGCGGGUGAGUAAUGCCUAGGAAUCUGCCUGGUAGUGGGGGAUAACGUCCGGAAACGGGCGCUAAUACCGCAUACGUCCUGAGGGAGAAAGUGGGGGAUCUUCGGACCUCACGCUAUCAGAUGAGCCUAGGUCGGAUUAGCUAGUUGGUGGGGUAAAGGCCUACCAAGGCGACGAUCCGUAACUGGUCUGAGAGGAUGAUCAGUCACACUGGAACUGAGACACGGUCCAGACUCCUACGGGAGGCAGCAGUGGGGAAUAUUGGACAAUGGGCGAAAGCCUGAUCCAGCCAUGCCGCGUGUGUGAAGAAGGUCUUCGGAUUGUAAAGCACUUUAAGUUGGGAGGAAGGGCAGUAAGUUAAUACCUUGCUGUUUUGACGUUACCAACAGGAUAAGCACCGGCUAACUUCGUG
rnacentral:rRNA from 1 species